CCCGGCGGUGGACGGCUGGGGGAUCCGGCAGUGGAGGUCCGAAGGCGGCUCGUGAUUAGACCAACCAGCUCCUCAUCCAUGGAAGGAUUGAAGGAGUCACUGGGGAUGAAGAUCACUGCUCAGGGGCUGACGACCCCCCCCCCCCCCCCCCCCUCAUCUUUCCGGAGAAGCGUCCUCAUGGUGCAGGCGGUCAAACCUCCACCUCUUUGAAGAGACAAGCAGCUUGAUGACUGACUGGUUCUUUAUACUCAAGACCUCGUCCCGGAGCAGUGGACGGACCUAAGGCCUGCAGCGCAGCCGACUAGAGACUCCAUGUGGAACCGGUUCAAUUAAGUUGACCUCUCCUUCAGGCGACUUAAAGGGAGACCAGAUUUGCGGCAGCUGGGUGUCAUGGUGCAGAGACCCAACGCUGUACUGAACUACACCAGUGUGUCCUACUCCCAUAAACACUGAGGAUCCCUGGAUGGCUACACCAGCACAUUAAUCCACACCCAACAUCAACACACAGUGCACACUCUAUAGAGCUCGUAAGUCCGCCCCUUGCGGCGGGACCUUGUGAGAUCGUAAGAUAUGACUGGGUUUCAAUGGAGAGAAAGUAAUUAUUUUCUCCAUUUUAUGUUGCACCACAUUUUGGGGGAAGAAUGUUUGAAUCAAUCUUUGUCAUUUAUUUCUGUACUCCAUAUCUGUAAUCCCAGCUGUUGUAUUUUAACACGGUAGCUGGGAACCCUCUUUAUAGGGAGCGACUAGAGGGACGAGGCUGGAAGCAAACCUGAGCCUGGAUCUUAACCUUCUUUCUAAACCUAAUGCCGCAAUUUAACCGCAAAUAAAGUGAGGCCUAAAGUAACUUGACUCUCUUGCCUAAACUUGCUUGCCUAAACUCGCUUGUCUAAACUCGCUUGGAUAAAACCUAAACUCGCUUGCAUAAAACCUGAACUUGCUUGGCUAAACUCGCGUCGCUUGCCUAAUACCUGAACUUGCUUGCCUAAACUCGCUUGCCUAAACUCGCUUGCCUAAACUCGCUUGCCUAAACUCGCUUGCCUAAACUCGCUUGCCUAAACUCGCUUGCCUAAACUCGCUUGCCUAAACUCGCUUGCCUAAUACCUGAACUCGCUUGCAUAAAACCUAAACUUACUUAGCUUGACUCGCUUGCCUGUACUCGCUUGCAUAAAACCUAAACUCGCUUGGCUAAACUCGCUUGCCUGUACUCGCUUGGCUAAACUCGCUUGCCUAAACUCGCUUGCCUAAUACCUGAACUCGCUUGCAUAAAACCUAAACUUGCUUAGCUUGACUCGCUUGCCUGUACUCGCUUGGCUAAACUCGCUUGCAUAAAACCUAAACAAGCUUAGCUUGACUCGCUUGCCUGUACUCGCUUGCCUAAUACCUGAAGUCGCUUGCCUGAAGUCGCAUGCCUAAUACCUGAAGUCGCUUGCCUAAAACCUAAACUUGCUUGUCCAAACACGUUACACAAAGUUAACCAUCCAUAAUCUUUAACCCAAACCAGACUUGUCCCUGGGUCGCUCCACUUUAAUCUAGAAGUUUCUUCUUUUACCUCAUCUACGUUGAGUUUCAUUCUUUGAGGGCUUGAAGUGCUUUGGAGGAUAUUUGAACCUUUGUUUGCCGCAUCAAUAAACAUGCUUUAUCUUUACCCAUUUUGUUUUGGAUUUCAUUUCUAUGUGUAAUCCGGCCAAAUGUUCAGUGUCCUUACAUGUAAUGUCUAUGGUCUGACGAUAAUCUGACCUCUUCAUGAAGCAGAAUGUGUGUGAAUGUUGUCCCGUGAGCUCCAGGCUCUCUGUGGGCCUGUCAACGUCUCUUUAGCAAAAGGUUGGAGAGUGAGAUUCAUUUUUGUGCCAUUUUCAUGUGUUCCUGAGUAUUUCAGACCUGUGGUGUUUCACAUGAGACCUUAAUGGGAACUUUUCUUUUUCUGCCUGCAUACGUAAUGCCUACAUUAGUAGGGUGAUCACUGUUGAUUCCAAUAUUGAUCAUCAACCACCUCAUUCUUUGGGAUUACAAAUCAUGUAAUUUAUGAGCAUAUUUGCAAAUGCCUCCAAAUAUCAGAUUGUGUAAAAACGAAUGAAAUGUAACCGGCUUGAUUUAAAGAAAAUAAAACA